rnacentral:rRNA from 1 species
AACGCUGGCGGCGUGCCUAAUACAUGCAAGUCGAACGGUCUUUCUAUGGAAGCUUGCUUCCACUGAGAAGAUAGUGGCGAACGGGUGAGUAACACGUGGGUAACCUGCCCAUAAGAGGGGGGAUAACAUCCGGAAACGGGUGCUAAUACCGCAUAGUUUUCUUGAUCGCAUGAUCGGGAAAGGAAAGACGGCCUUUGUGCUGUCGCUUAUGGAUGGACCCGCGGCGUAUUAGUUAGUUGGUGGGGUAACGGCUCACCAAGACGAUGAUACGUAGCCGACCUGAGAGGGUGAUCGGCCACAUUGGGACUGAGACACGGCCCAAACUCCUACGGGAGGCAGCAGUAGGGAAUCUUCCGCAAUGGACGAAAGUCUGACGGAGCAACGCCGCGUGAGUGAAGAAAGGUUUUCGGAUCGUAAAACUCUGUUGUCAGAGAAGAACAAGUUGGAGAGUAACUGCUCCAGCCUUGACGGUAUCUGACCAGAAAGCCACGGCUAACUACGUGCCAGCCGCCGC